rnacentral:lncRNA from 1 species
UACGUAUGUUAGAUUAAUUAGUAGUUACGUAAGAAAUCUAUUUAGAGAUAUAGCUAUAUUACUAACUAGCAGGUACCUCCGUGCUUCGCACGGGCAGUGAGGCCAAAACAUAGCAUGCUAUAUGGUUGUGCAUGGAAGCAAAGUAUUACCAAAAUUAGUUAGAACAAUGUUUAAGGCAUUUGCAAAGGAACCCAAGCCAUGAAGCAACAAACAUGUUAGUUUGUUAAUACCUAGGUAUAGAGGAAAUUUUCAAUUUUUAGUAGCGGCCACUAAUCUUGAUUUAGAGGCAUUGAACAUAGUCUUGUAGGAUGAGGUUAUCCUGCUAGAGUCCUGUAGAAUUAAAUAGAUUGUGAGACCGUACUGAACAUUUACGCGUAAAAAAACUCGAGUUGCAGACACGCUGCAAACACAGGCAUGAAAAAUCAAUCGAACUGGACCUCAUACAUGAAGAUGUAGAAGUAAAAUUGUCUGAUGCAGUGGCAUAUCUUAGGGAUGCUCUUGCUGUACGUGUGCAUAUAUGCAGCAUGGAUUAGGGACAUCAUGAGAGAUAGGGAAGGAGAGGGAACAGAUAGGUAGCGCUUGGUAGAGAACACCUUACCAAUUGGGCAUACAGAGGACAAAAGGAGAGGGGGCCUGAUGUAGGGGCGACGGCUUCGUGCCAAGGUCUGCGUGGAUGGGGCGCGGGGUGCCGUGCAGGACAGCGCGCGGCGCUAGUCGCGGCGUGCGGCAGCGGUGUCGCUAGGUAGGGCCGGCGCGGGCACAGCCAUCGGUGGGCCCUGCUCGUGCGUCCACGUCGCGCCGGGCCGAUGGGGUUCGCGUGCGCUGUGGCGUGCCGGUAGUAGCGGCUGUCGUUGCUCCGGCAGCUAGAGUGGCGGCGGGUUGGCAGCCUGUAGACAUGGGGAUGAGAGGCGGAGUGCGAGGGUCGACGCGGCGGCGCGCGGAAGGUGAGAACCGUGGGGUUGGAGGAGCCGCGAGGAUAAGGAUAGCCGCUGGCUUGGCGGAUGGUGGAGAGAGGGGGAUAUAGUCGCAGGGCAGGUCGAAGAAGUCAUGGCAGCCCCAGGUGGAAGAGCGAGGAGGCGAGCUGGGGAUUUUCCUUUUCCUUCU